rnacentral:rRNA from 1 species
UGGGGAAUAUUGCACAAUGGGCGCAAGCCUGAUGCAGCCAUGCCGCGUGUGUGAAGAAGGCCUUCGGGUUGUAAAGCACUUUCAGCGAGGAGGAAGGGUUCAGUGUUAAUAGCACUGUGCAUUGACGUUACUCGCAGAAGAAGCACCGGCUAACUCCGUGCCAGCAGCCGCGGUAAUACGGAGGGUGCAAGCGUUAAUCGGAAUUACUGGGCGUAAAGCGCACGCAGGCGGUUUGUUAAGUCAGAUGUGAAAUCCCCGCGCUUAACGUGGGAACUGCAUUUGAAACUGGCAAGCUAGAGUCUUGUAGAGGGGGGUAGAAUUCCAGGUGUAGCGGUGAAAUGCGUAGAGAUCUGGAGGAAUACCGGUGGCGAAGGCGGCCCCCUGGACAAAGACUGACGCUCAGGUGCGAAAGCGUGGGGAGCAAAACAGGAUUAGAUACCCUGGUAGUCCACGCUGUAAAACGAUGUCGACUUGGAGGUUGUGCCCUUGAGGCGUGGCUUCCGGAGCUAACGCGUUAAGUCGACCGCCUGGGGGAGUACGGCCGCAAGGUUAAAAC